CAUGUCUUACUUCACAAAGAACAGCUCUGUCUUUGAAAAGCUGUCCAGUCCGUGUCCCUGUUAAAGAAAAAUAUCUCUCGGGGAGAACAGCACUGCCUUUGGUAGUGAGCUCACAAUGAAUACCUGGAUGAUAGGCAACGUAGUUCCACAGCUUUCCUGGCACAGCUUUCCUCAUUAAGGUGCUGUAAAGGGCAGGAGAACAGCAGUCUGUACCUUAAGAGUGUGGAAAUGCUAAAGAAGGUGGUCAGAAUUGGUAGCUGAGAUUCUGUUAUGCAUCAGAGAUGACAGAACAACUUGGGAAGACAGUCAUGCGAAGGGAAUAACACUUGUCAACCCAGUACAGGUAUCAUGACACGAGAGAAACUGAAGAUGAAGGAGCGGGAUGGGACUUAUAUACUAAGGAGGCGGAGUCAAGAUUCCACCUUCCCGCCCCUUCACCUUCUGUUCCAGCUGCCGAGCCUUCUGUCUUCUCAGCAACAUCUGGUUCCAGGCUUCUUCAUAAGGAUCUGCUACCAAGGUGUGUCGAUUAUAUGACCGCA